AUGGGCGCAAGCCUGAUGCAGCCAUGCCGCGUGUAUGAAGAAGGCCUUCGGGUUGUAAAGUACUUUCAUGCGGGGAGGAAGGUGAUGAGGUUAAUAACCUCAGCAAUUG
rnacentral:rRNA from 1 species